GGAGCUACCCUCGAUGUAAAGUGAUACAGAAUGGAGUUUUCAGCCUUAUUCAUUCUCUCCAUGCUCCCUGUGGGUGUGCUCCCUAUGGGGACCCUAGGAGAGGCUGUGUCUCUGGAAACUUAACUAGGCAAAAAUUGGUAUUGUGGCUGGGAAUGCAGCUGAUCCAAGGCAAGAUGCUUCAAGAACUGAGAGAAGGUCACAAAAAGGACAAGGGGAAGGAAGUCUGGAUCUGGUUUGAACUGUCACAUUGUCCCAGGAACAAGGUGAAUGCUGGGAAACUUCUUAUCAGGAGCUGGGUAUCAGUGAGGUUCCAAGGCUGCUGGGAAGUCAAAGUAAAGCCAAACCAUGUGUCCCGGUGCUUGGUCCAACACAUAUGUUCACAACAGGGAGGCGGGGCGAACAGAAGGUGAAGUUGUGAGAAGUCAGGACAUCGUU